AAUGGGGCCAUAAUCCCUCUCGAUCAGCGACGAAGAUUCAUGGGAACAACCGCCGUCGGACUUCGACGCGCCGGUCGAGCUAGAGAACCGCUGGACGAGGGUGAAGACCCGCACCAAAGAGUUCCUGGAAACUGUCACUUUGGAUGGCAUCGCACAGACAUGCGGUGCCCGUCAUUGGUUGCGUCGGCUGGUGUGGUUGUCGUUCUUUAUUCUAUGCUCGGUGUACGGCCUCAUGCAGUGCUACGACGUCUACAAUGAGUACAUCAAGUACCCCAAAGCUGUGGCGGUUCAGCUACAAACGGAGCGCCCGGCCCAGUUUCCAGCGGUGACUUUAUGCAGCCUGAACCCCAUCAACAACGAAGAUGCGCUCAGGAACGACUAAGUC